AAUGUUGUCUAAAAAAAAAAUGCACUUUGACCAAUGUGCUUAAGUUGUGUUGUCUUACUUCUUCAGAUGGUCCUUUGGAAUCCUGCUUUAUGAGAUGAUAACCCUGGGUAGUAUUUGUUAGAGGUCCUAAUACACCAGUUGUUACUUUAAUUAUUAUUAUUUUUUAUCAAAAAAUACCAUGAAACAAACAAUUCUCAGUCUUACCUUCCUUCUCCCUUGAAAGGAUCUCCUCCCUAUCCUGAUCUGGAUCCAUCUGAAGUGCUGCCAAACACUUUAGCCAAUUACGGAAUGAAAAGACCAGAAAACUGUGGAGCCCCAUUAUAUGACUUAAUAAAGUACUGCUGCAUGUGGAACUUCAAGGACAGGACGGUCUAUUCUGCCAUUAUUCGGCUUUUAGACUCGUACACCUACCUCGCUGACACAAAACAACUUCGCUCUGAAGAGCAAGUGGACAUCUGUGAAUACAGGAGGAAAGCAGGACUGCCUCCAUGAGCUCAUUCAGAGAACUAUCAAUUGAUUGACUGAGGUCAUUUCCAGCUAGUUUGUGUAGCCAUGACAUGACGAGCUCAAUGUCACUAGAGGUCGCCAUGUUUCUCAGACCCAUUGCAUUGUGGUCAACUGAAAUUAAUCUCAAUGUUUCCAGCUAGAAAAAUAUAAGAAACUUUCUUAAUCUUUGUCAUUUUACUUCCUGUUUUUGACUAAAGUGGUAUUUAUUUAUCUAAGGUAGGGUGACUAUAUGGCCUCUUUUUCCCAAGCAUGUGAUGGCAGGGAUUUCCAAAUUUCCUAAAAAGUACAGGUUUUGGCUUUGUUUUCCUGCUCACAUGCUCUCUACAGACAUUUACAGAUAUUAUAGACCCGGACAUUUUAGGAAAUUUAGAAAUCCCAGCCAGGACAUGCAAAGGAAAUACAGGACGUAUGGUAACCCUGUCUAGUGUUAAGUUAUGAAAGAUUUAUUGUUAACAAUAAAGAGGGGUAUAAAAAUAGAAAUGAUAGGCCUACUCAUGUUCAAGUAAAUGGUACUAUGCCAAACUUUUACUCAAAGGUCAAAGUGCCUGGUCAAUAAACAUAAACUUAAACAGAAAAUAACAUUAGAAACAUUAAUUGCUGUUCACUAUAAACAAGUAAAAAGGCUGGGGUAUUGUUUUUUUCUAGCUUUCUGUUGCCUCGGUGUCCCUCAUCUUUAUAGAAGCAUUUGUUUAUAUUUAUCUUGUCUCAAUUGUCAUGUAACUGUUUGCCAUUACUGACGAUUUGAGAAAAGAGAUUUUGAGAUUGA